UUUUCGCACUCCCAAUCUCAAUCCCACGAUCUUCAAACCACUUCCAGCAAACAUAGAACUCAAAUCCUAGAAACAAAAUCAACUUCUUCUAGCUUCUUUCAAACCAUUCCUAGGAAACAUUGAACUCAAACCAUAGAUUCGAAAUCAAUCGUCUUCUAGCUUCAAACUUAAAGGAUCGAACUUCGAUAGAAAUCGUUCCUCUAUAAUCAAACUCAGAGCAAUCAGAACUCAGAGAAAUCGAAGUUAGAGCAAUCGUUUCCCAUUAAUCGUUCCUCUUCUCCAAUCACACUCAUCUUCUCCAAUCACCCUCGUCAAUCCUAAUAUCCAAGAACCCAGAAACCACUGUGAACCCUAUCCCAUAACCCAUAAAUUCUCUUCGUCGCCGUGCUCUUACAACUCAAAUUGUUGUCAUUAAGGUGUUGGGGACUUUCAUCACUGAAUGGGAUGAGAGAAAGGCUAACUGUGAUAUACUACUUUCAACAAAGGAGUCUGCACAAAUGUAUGCAGAACGUCUGGCAGAGCUUGCUGUUCAUUUAGGCUUUGAUGGGUGGCUAAUAUAUAUUUCUUCAUCUCUCUGUACUUAUAAAGUUUCUAUUCUUGAGCCCUAUGUUCAAUUGCAGAUUUCUUUGAAUUUUUUAGCUCUGACUACUGCAGGAUGCCUCUUCUUCCUCCACUUUUGCUCUUUGUGGUACAAUGUAAGAAACAAGAUGGUGGCAGGUCUUGUCUUCUCUACUUUUCUUCUGUUUUGUGGUUUGCAAGUGUUAUUUAUUUACUUCAUCUUACAUUUGGCUUCAGGUAUAUCCUUGCUACUCUCGAGGCAACGUGAUUCUCUCCUCUCCACACCUUGAACCAGUUUCAUGUGCUCUCAUGGCCAAAGGGUUGCAUGUGUUGGAAACAAUCUUAAUCUGCUGGUUUUGAGUAUUAAAAGCUAAGGUAAAAUUAGUAAUUUCAAUUCCACUCUCUUUCCCUCUUUUUAUGAACACUAAACUCACCCUUAAAGCCUUCACUCAUUUGGGGUCAAUUGCAUGUACACAUACUCUGUAAAUUGGGGUAAUUGAAAGUGUUAGGGAACUGAUUGAAAUGGAGAAAAGAAUUGAAGGUCGGAGCUUGGAAGGACUGUUGAUGGAACAAGAAAACAAGAGGAAUUGCUUAAGUUGUGUAAAAUCCGUAUUUGGGACAGGGCUCCACUCAAACGAGUUAUAUUGAGGUCUAGGCAUGAUUUCGAAGUGGAGGGUCUGAAGCUGAGUUUGUGCAGGAAUAUGGACUGUUCGUGAAGGCAUGCUUUCGAAUUUUGGCUUUAUCAAUGCUUAGCAAUGCAUUUAAUGCUCUGUAAUUCAUAUACUGAUUAGUUUAAAUGUAAAUUAUAUUUGGAUUUGAAGAUAUCCAUUGUAUUCUAGUAACUUGUAAAGAGAUUUGAGUAACAUAUUUUCUAACCAAUACUUUUGUAUGGUACCUCUUCGAAUGUCUUAUGUGGUGUUUAAUUAUAAUCAAUGAAAUUUGUUGGCUCUUUUUUUUUUU